GUUCUGCGCAGAUCCGGAAAUUAAAAAACAAGACAAAAAAAAAUUGAACGAUUUUGAGUUCAAUAGUACAAUGAAAAAUUCGGGAAAUUUUCCCGAUUUUUUUUGUUUUUGUUUUUGAAUUUUCUACUGUAAUAGGGGACUUCAUCCCCAUAUAAUUGUUGGCAGGCCUUGGUGGCUGAGUGUAAAGUGGUUGGUAUGUUUAUGUCUUGUUCUACUGUCUGAUUUAACAAGAAGAUCUUUAUAUAAUAGGGUAAAUUGCUAUGUCUUGGUGUAUGAUCUUAUAGAAUACCACUAGUCUUGUUUGUAUUCGUCUCAAUUUUUGUUCAUAUUUUUAAUCAUAUACUCCGCGCAUGCAACAGUUCGUAAUCUUCAAUCAAUGAAGCUGUAACUGUAUAUCAGAAGAAGAACAAUUCUAAUGUAGGCCACUGUAGGUGAUCAAGCAUAUUUAAGACAAGAGCUGGUAUUGUGAUAUACCGGUUCUCCGGUUUACAAUCAACAGUCAAAUAGUUUUUUUGUGAAAAAUUUGCUCACACAUCUUCCUGUUUUUGGCCAAUUAUAAUAAUAAAAAAGGUGCAUUAUUAUAUUUACCAUUCGUUGCCCUUUUAAGGUACAUAAAUGUACGUAAUCCAUGAAAACAAAACACUUUCGACAUUUCGAACUUUCGUUGCGUUGACUUUCUCUAGACUUUCAUUUCUAUGUUUCGUUCCCCGGUUUCUUCUAGUUAAUCGACAAGUCACUCAAUUCAAUUUAUCUGUUUAUAAGUAGAAGAAGAAGUAGAAUCUAUCUCUGUCCAUUCUUAAAACUUAAAUAAACAGCUGAAGACUGCUGCAGAUGAUCGCGUGAGCGUCCAUCCUCUCCAUGGUUUGCGUCAUAGUGCACAAAACGAUAACAGUGAAAAUAUUUCCGAGUUUUCCCGGUUUUCAAAUUCGACGUGCCAAGUACGUAAUACGAGGGUCUGGAAUCAAAAUUAGGGAUUUAAGAAAAGGGAAUAAGAAAAAAAAUGCAGAAUAAAUAAUAAAAAAUAA
rnacentral:lncRNA from 1 species